AAAAGGGCAGGGUGUGAGAUUAGAAAGCAAAUGACCUCUUGGAAGUGGUCUCUUAAUGCGGAGGACGGAUUCUCGGUUAAAUCUCUGAGGGGUCUUAUGGCAAAACCGGCUUCAAAUAAAGACGGAUGCAAUGCUGGAUGGUGUUCAUGGCUGCCAAAAAACUGAGGCGGAGGAGUCUUCGGACCAUUUAUUUUCUGCUUGUACAGUGGCGACAAUAGUUUGGCAGAAAAUUUCGGAAUGAAGUGGUAUUUAAAUCGAGCAGAAUAGAUAUCGGAAGCACCUUGGAUGAGCUACAUACCAUAGGUUUCUUAUGGAUAAAAAGCAGGUCCAAACUGGAGUUUGAUUGGGAUCAGUGGUGUAGAUAUAACUUCUGUAGUUAGAAUGUAAUUUGGCUGGGUUUUUUGGUCUGUAUGUAUAUUUGGUUUUCAGCUUGUACUGUUUAUCUGUUGUGAAUAAAGGUUAAACUUUCGGGAAAA
rnacentral:lncRNA from 1 species